rnacentral:lncRNA from 1 species
AGCUUCUGCCCGCGCGGAGAUAAACAAGCACCGCGACCGCCGAGCAGCGCCGAACCCAGCGCGCCCAGUCAGACCCCAGGGCCUGUGUACCGAGCAUGCGCAGUUCCCGCCCAAGCCAGGAGCAGCGUCAACCUGAGACUCCCGAGACAUUAAGAAUUCGGAAGGGAUGAGAUGGUAGAGGGGCUAGAGCUACCUCCAAGCUUUAUCCUGAGGCGGGGAGUGAAGGAGAGAUGCCCAAGGCCCAAGAGGGGCCGCGAGGGCCUUUGUCCGAUGCCACCCAGUCUGUCAGCACUCCUAGAGCUUUGGUUUUAUCUUGUAUUAGCAUGUGAAGCUUUAAGGGGGGGGCACCUACAGGCUUCUGACUGAAGUUGUGUAAACGCAACAAAAUGAAGCUUUGGAGCGUUAGGACAUUGAUGGGAGGGUGACGCCCCCCUCUAGCAGCGCGCCAGAGGGGCGAGUCAGAGGCGGCCACACACCACGGAAGUCGGGUCCAAGCCCGCUGACGUCGCCGGGGUCCCGCCCACCAACCCUCUGGACCCGCCCACAUUUCUUCUAGACCCGCCCCUUUCGGUGCCGAACUGAAGUCGAGCUCUUCCCACGCCCUGUCAGCCACGGGUGAGUUGAAAACCUGGAGAGCGGAAUCCCGAACGGCAGCCGGAAGGCCCUGGACUCCUCAUAGCAACAGCCAGCUAGGGGCAUCUAGUGGGAAGCUGGGAUUCAUUCUAGCCAACCACAUCACGUCUCUGUACCACAAGGUACCAUUCACGACCAAUAAGAGAGCGCCCCCAUACCACGUGCCUUUACUCCUUCAACCAAUCGAGAAAAACGCUAGUCGUAGGAUCCGCAAGCCCACCUCCCAGUGCCUUGCCAGGCGGGGCUCUUCGCGCACGCUCUGCCAACCAAUCGUAGGUGAGCUGGCGAGUGACGGAAGCUUCGGCCAAGCCAACCAGAGCUCGCGAGCCCCUUGCCACCGAGGCCGGCGGGAUGGAGACAGGGACCGGCUGCUGGGGUUUGGGAGGGGCAGAGAUUGAGGAGCCAGUUGCUGUGCCCUGUUCUGGCAAAAGAACAAGAUGCGUUGCAAGCCAGAAUGAUGAAUUCCACUUUUCACGUCGCCUCCGUGGCAUUCUGCCUAAAUGAUGGGCAUGGAAAUGGUGCUGAGGGAUGUGGGCUGAAUCGAGAACACAGGGACUUUUGUCUUCAGGGUGAGAAAUGUUCCGGUCCUUAAGGAAACAUCGUGCAGCAGUUGCAUGGGUCUUCCAGGCGUUCCUCCCAAAACAUUAUUUUUUUUCUUUCACUAUUGAGUUUUAAAACUUAGCGUUCUGUCGCUAGCAUUGCAUCUUAGUUACACAUCCUCUCCCACCCAUAACGUCAAAUUUAGGAGACGAUACAUCCCCAAGCUUUCCUGCAUUAUUUUUUGCAGUAACUGGUUAUUCAGUUUACUUUCUUUAAACUAUGUCCUUCUCAAACUAGUCUCACCUGUUCGUUACUGUCGCACAUUUCCUGCGAAUAACACGUUUCUGUAGUUCUGUUGUUAGAGCCUGGCAUACCUCUCCCCGUUCCUCUUUCCCACAAGGUCAUCAUGCAGAGGGGAUUUUGGUCUGAGUUAAAAGCCAGGUAUUCUUUCACCAUCUUUUCUGUCGAUAGUCAAACUACUACAAAGACUACUCAAAUUUAGUAGUUUCUUAUUUCCCUAUAGCUUCGUUAUAUUAGAAUGGAUAACUUAUAUUUGCAUUACCUUGCUGUAAUGAACACACACCAAGUUUUCAUUUAAAAUUAUCAAGGACAAAUGUCCUCUGAAUUUAAAAAUGUGUAUGUAGUAAAAUAUAACUCAGCAUUUCUUGAUUACAUAUCAUUAAAAUAUGAAUGGUACUAUCUGAGCCACCAGAAUCAGCAGUGAAGGUAUUAUAUUAAUAAAAAGGACUAAGAAUCAGGACUGUUUUAAGGGAACUGGAACCGAAGAGGAUCUACUAUUUCAUCCUAGGCUAGUUAACAUGAAAUAGUGAAUUAAAAUUGAAAGAGCUUACAUGGAUGCUUCAUAUCUGAGCUACUUUGGCAGGGAUGUUUCAAGAGGAUGUAGGUCCCUAGAUGUUGAGAAGCUCUGGAUUGAAGCUGUCACAAAAAUAGUGAGUGGGCUCCGUAGUCACUCCAUUUAGCAUAAUACAGAGUAGGACAGCUUUGUGACAUUUCUCAGGCUAUUUCCCCUGACCUCUCAUCAAUGCUGACGUUUUUGAUAAGAAGGGGUAUAGAGACUGCAGCCCUUGGGGUGGUUACAGUUCAUUUAUUUACAGGCCUUAUAUUGACAGGCCUCAGAUUUCAUGCUCAGUACCAUAAAGGUUGAUUUUUAACCACCAAGAGGCAAAAGAAACAUGACAGGUCGGAGCAUAUUUUCUCACCUAUUCUGGCUUAAAUGAUGGUACUUACCUGAUUUGUGGUUGUAGGUGAAAUGUUGGGUGAAAGAUUAGCUGCUAUAAAAAGGAUGUCAGGACGUGUAGAGAAUUUAGAGGACUUGGGUGGGAGAUGGAUGUCUAUUUUCUAACCCCUUAGUCAUGUUCAUUCCGAUGCCAGCAUAAACUCUAUUUUGAGAUGAUUAUAGAAAUAACUUAUAUCUUCAUUUGUUUGUGGGAAAUAAAAAAUAAAAAUGAUAUAAAAGAAAUUUGAAUUAUUCCCAAGAGCUGUAAAUCUGUAAGAUAGUGAAAACUUAACGCAGUAACUGACACUGCAGGAUCCCUUUAGUUUCCAAAGUGCAUUGCCAGGAGAAUAAAAAGAAAGAAAAUCUUCAUUUCUCCUCUCUCCACUAAAUCUGAAAGGGAGUUAUCUCACCUAUAGCCAGAUACCUUCAAUUAUCGCACUUGUGUUACCGUGGAAACCCAAGUCCAUCCUUUCUUUCUGUAAAAGGUGUUGGAAAAGGUGGUAUGAAGUGGGAAAGGUACUGUAUUCUGGGACUUCCUGACACCAGCAAGAAGCAAAUAUGCAGAUAAUUUAAUAGAAACAAAUUAGUAGAGGAUGUUUGUAAUGCGAGGGGUACUUUUCGACUGUAAAACCCUGAUUCCUAAUGCUUCUUAUUAAAGCCUGCAUGCCUCUGAUUAAACAUAAAGGGGAAGGGCAUGUCAAGUACAUUUAGCACCUGUGAAACGCUGCUGGCAAGUAUAAGGAGAGCAGACGAUGGUUUCUUGACCUGUGAGGCUCCUAAUACAGUUGAGAAUCUGCAGUAUAUAUGUGGAGUGGAAAGGAAGGGGCAAAAUAAACUUUGUUCUUCCUUUAAAAAAUGUGAUAUGUCUCAGUGCUUUUGAAAAGAAAAGGAAUUAGAAUGCAGAAAUUAAGAGUAUGGAAACAACUCAAUAAAAGAAACGUAUGGGUGGAGAGAGUAGAUGUUUCAAAAGGCCAUUUUAAUCAGAAAAAAAAUCUGAAAGAAAAGACGUAAUGAUUAAAAUGUAGGCAGAAAAAAGAAAAAGCCUGAAGAAUCUUAAGAGCUAGAGGAUUCUGCGGAAAACAGAGCUUCAGUGUGGUUCAUUUAACAAAGCAGAAGAGCAGGCACAGUGUUGCUUGCGUACCCAGCAGUUUCCCUUUAUUUUUGCCAAAGAAGCUGGGAUGAAUCAGGAUUGGACUUUAAUAGCAUUGCUUUCCCUCUGCCCACGGUUAGUCCAAAAGUAGGCACGUGACUCAGUUCUUGUCAUUGGAAUGGGGAGAAGGCUGCUAGGGCUGGAGGGAUUUCUAGGAUAUUGACAAGAGUGAGGAAAUAUCCCCGUUUUCUGAUGUCGCUCUCUUUGCUUCCUGCUUUACACAUUGAAAUAUGAGAAUGUGGCCUCCAUUUGGGGGCUAUGAUGCAUUAUGACAUUAUGGUGCAAUACUGUAGAAAGCCAGCAACUUCGGAUGGCCAGGGAGGAGGAUGGGAAGAACCUAGGUCCUGCAUGACAACAUUGGACAGUCAAACCAACAUUAGAACUGCCCACAUUUGGACUUAUGGCUAAGUAAACAGCUGGUGUCUUUCAAUUUAAGUGUGUGUUGGUAAGGUUUUCUGCAUCUUACAGCAAAAUACAUCCCACCUGUUAACAAAAAGUAUGAGGGAUUCCAGCCAAAAUCGGGCUUUAAAAAAUCAGCAAGCAUUUGUGAGCACUUUCAUUUCACUAAUAUCUGAACGAUAGUUCAAAGAUACUAUAAUAUUAAUUGAGUAAUUACUGUGUAUAUUUUUUAGGCUCUGGGGAUAAAACAAUAAGCAAUUAGCCAAAAGAGCUUGUAUUCUAGCAGGAGAGACAGAUAUUAAGCAACCAAUUACAUGUUUAUAUUAUAAAAUAAUGGUUAUGCUUAAAACUAAUAAGGAAAAAUCAGGAAUUAGAAAGGGUAUAUAGUAAUUAUAUAAAUAAUAAAAUAUUACAAAAUAUAUAACUAAAUAACUGAAUGAAAUUACAAAAACAAACACUUUCCAAGUAAAUGAGAAUGAAAUGUAUAGUUUUUACUGACAUUCCCAGAGGUCGAGAGAAACAGUAAAUUGGAGUAGGUUAGUCCAGGAGAGUUGUCUGAAGCAAAUUAAUAUUGUAUCAGGUUUUGAAGGAAGUGGCGAAAGGACAGGCUAGAUGGGGCAGAAGAGAGCACUCUAGAUGUAAGGAACCAGAAGAGCAAAGGAAGAAAGCAGGAAUGAAGUAAGAGUGAAUGAGGGAAAUACCAGAAUCACUUGAUUUUUUAAAUUCCCUGUAGCAACAGCAUUCUAGGGGCAUCUCUCAGAGAAAAAGACAGAAAGAUGCCAGAAGUCUCAAAGCAAGAUUAUUUAAAGGUAUAAAAAUAAUAUAGGAGAAAAAUACAGAAGACAAAGUAGGAGUACAAGAGUGCAUUUGAAAUUAAGGCGUCAUUCAAAAUAAUGAAUAAUUUAUAAUGUGGGCGUCAAAAGAGUUGUCAUAAGAAGUAAUUAUGGAUUUAAGGGCAUCAAGAAGGAGGGAUUCAAACUUUCACAAAUAGAAAUAGAAGGAAACAUGAGGAGUGGCAAAAAAUGAAGACAGGUAGAAAAACAGUUUUUGCUUGUUAUUUUUCCAUGAUAGCUGUUAUUGACAUGCAUUAUGUAGAAAUGAAUGGAAUUUGUUUGAAAAGAAAAAUUUCAAUAGAGCAGUAAUACAUAAAGGUAGGCUUUUUGGUAAAUAGUGUAAUUUAAAAUGUUUUCACUAGAAUGCCUUUUUGUACCUUCCUGUAGGAAAAUCUUUUCAACAAAAAAAGCUGUAAGUCAUAAUAAGUUACAGAUUAGCAAAGCAUUUUUGAAAUAAAAAAAAACCCAUAGAUGUGCCAAAUGUAAUAGUAGAGCAACAAUAAUAAAUAUUUGUAAUAAAAAUCAGAACUUGUUAGGCAUUAUGUGGUUUCUGGUCAAAUAUGGUUGUACUAAUUUUUCUAAUGCUAUUUUCUGUACAAAUAUAAGAAUUUUUUAAAUUAAGCUAUGGUAGGUAUAUGAACACAUCUUGAUAUUACUGGAGGUAGGAUUUACCACUCACUUUUUGUGACCCCAAGUGUAACCCUGAACAGACUUCUGUCUUAACACCAAUAACACAUGAUUGCACUGUCUUCUCCAGUGACUGGGGAAAGGGACAGUGCUUUGUUCAUUUUUGCUUUACCAGCAUUCAGCACAUCGCCUAAAAACAAUUGUGGGAAUUCAUAAAAUGUUUGUAAAUAAAUGAGCAAUUGAGUGGACUAUAAUGUUGCUUCUAAAAACCCUGGGUUUUGAACACAGAGAAGAUGAGAAUAAAAGGAAAGGAAUAAGGAUUUUCCCCAAAUCAAGGUGAGGUUGAUGUAAAUGUCCUCCAAAGUUGGUCUAAUCUCCAAAGAAGCUUGUAUCUCAAAAACAGUAAGUCUCCAACAGGCAAAGUCAAUGGCAGUUUGUAGACCUGGAAUUUAGGAGUGCCAGGAAAGAUCUGAAAAAUCAUGUCUUCUAUCAACUGACUGUUGUCUGAAAUUCUGCACUUAGGUUUUAGUCUUUUGAUGUAAAAGUUAUUUUUUUCCAAUUAAAAUGUAAGUAGGAGAUAUACAGUUAAAUUGUACCAUCAGUCUGUCAACUUCGGGGCAUGCAACUAUGCUUACCUGGAUGAAAAAGAAAAUGAAGAAAGUAAAAUAGAAGAACGUAGUUUAAAUUGGGGGAUAAGUCAUGGCAUGAGUAUGUGCCCAGAGCGAGUAUAAGAAGGCCAUGGAAAUCCACUGUAUUUUUGUCAUACACUUAUUAAUUUGUUUCAAUAAGGUUAAUCACUCCACAUGGUGUAACAAGAAAAAUAACAGCCUUUACAAUUACUAGAUUCUUAAACUUAUUUCAAAUACUUUUUAAUUUUUAUGAGAUUAUAAGAAUUUUUUAAACUUUGAAGCUGCAUGCCUUGUCUGAUUCCUUCCAUUUCUCUUCUGCUUCUCACAUUAUUGUGUUCAGCAAUGGUUUGGAGGCAUCUUGGGGAAGACAGAGCAGAGUUAUGGUGUAAGGACCAUCCAACUCUUCUCAGCAGCCAUCCAGUUAUCUUGUCAAGGGAAGUUACUCAUCCUGCUCUCUAGAAUUAUCUCCUCAAAAAUCGGUUUCCUGCUUUUCACAGAACAGUACACCAUCUUUUACUAUUAUCCUAAUUAAUGCUUCUCACACAGCCUUACAAAAUAUUAGUCACUUAAUUAUUAACCACAUUCAUUGGGCUGCACUAGUUGAAAAAGAUGUCUUGUUUACUUAGUCAAAGCGCUGUCUCUGUGCAAUGGCAUUGAUGGUGAAAUUGAUCAGAGUCUACGUUUGAAUGAGAGAAGCUGAGGGAGACAUUUCAGAAAUAGUAAGCCUUUUUAUUUCCUUGGUGUACCAGGUAGUCAAGGAAAGUUAAAGUAUUUUUUUAUACUUUGUCUUGAUUACAUUCUUUUGGGGACUGGUCUCUGGUGUUAGGUUUUUAAUAAAGAUUUUGGCCAUUUUCCAUGCAAACUAAUGUUUCCAAUGAAAAGAUACAACAUUGCAUGUAAAUUACCUAAGAAAUAUUAAUCUGUCAAUGUAAUUAAAUUAUAUAAGCAACAAUUAGUUUCAAAGCUGGAAUGGAUUAAGUCAGUUCUAUACUGCACACUGACAAAGUGAAAGGAACUAAAAUGGACAAAUUGUGGUGCUGUAAGGUUAUGAUUCUUAAGAUUUUUAUAUUAAAGUUGCAGAGUUUCAAAGUGCUCAGUGCUGCUCUUUACAUUAGGGCUGUAGACUCUCUUAAGCCCGAGGAUUCUAUCUGGAUAUGUGAUUGAUAGGGUGGAGGCUGGGCUGAGGCUUAGUAAGACAUUUAACCAUGCUUUGUAUAAUACUCCUUAAAUGUUGGCUCUCACAAACAUAGAAAUAGCGAACAUUAACUAGCUCUCUGUUUCAAUGUCUACCAUCUACCUGUCAACUUAAAAUCAUGAAAUCUAUAAAUUUGGAGAGGAGAGCUUUAUUUCUUACCAAGAGUUGCAGCCAGCAGGGUGGCCAUCCUAACUGGCUGGGAAGUGUAACCUCAGGCAGAGACCAAAAGCAAGUUAUUCAAGGGAGGAUGAGAUAGGAAUUUAUGCUGAAUGGAUUGGCCAAGUAUAUUUAUUUAACAGAUUGUAGGAGGAGCUAUACAUAUCCAUGAAGAGGGGGCAUGUGCAUGAAUAGUAAGCAAACAUGGAUGUUACAUGCAUCCCUUGUUCACUUUGGGGUGCAGACUUCACAUUUAAAUGCAUUCCAAUUAAGCCCU